GGAUGGGUCUUGUGCAAUUUGCAGCUGUGAACCAUGUCAGGUGGGGAACCAAGCAGCAUUAAGCAGUGUCGCAGAUGUGCCACGAGGUUGCCUGUUCUGA
rnacentral:SRP_RNA from 1 species